ensembl:lncRNA TEX41 testis expressed 41
GGCCUCCAUCUUGAAAACGGAAAAUAAAAACAGCAGACCUAUGAAGGUCGAAGGGGAAGAAAAGCUGUAUCGAUUGUUGAGAUCUGGCGACUUGUUUAAAUUUCAUCAGCCUCACUUCUAUGAACUCUCAGGGUCCUCGUAAGAACUUCCAUUUUAUGUUCUUGUCUUCUCAUCAGUUUGAGUUGUGUCUUUAACAUUGGAGAGAAAAACAACUUGCAAGAUUUUCUUUCAGUAUGAACCAUUCUGAGGUCCUUCAAUUCUUUAGCUGAUUACCAACUCCUACCACUGUUAACCCUCAUCCAGGAACAAGCUUAUGUCUUUAACAUUCUGAGUGGGCUUCAGCAUCCUUGCAUAUGUUCAAUUCUUAAAAACCUGUUGAAAUAAAAGAUCAGGAGACAUAGGAAGGAUGCCAGAAGAGAGCGUGGCCUCACGUGUACCAGCUCUCUGCUCUCCUUUGCCUUGGGACGUUCCAUCCCUGGAAGUUUCCCUGCCCACAUCUUUGUAGAGAGUCCAUUCUCCAAGCUUCAGUGUGUCAUCUGUGAGGACCGUGACCCACCUGGUACAUCGCCUCAGGGCAUUCAUUUCAGGCUCCUUCUAAAUGGCCAAGGAUCUUGGAAGCAGAGGGAUCUGCAGAAGUGCUUGCAACACUUUCAGCCUUAACCAGCAUCAGAGACAAAAAUCCUUUCUGGAAUGAGCGCCCAUUGCUAGUUGCUUCCUGGAGGAAUUUCCCAAAAUAAAAGUGCCUAUCCACAAAUCCUUCUCCUGAGGCUGCUUUUUUGGAGAAUUCAAGUUAAGGAAGAUUUCUAUUGGAUCAGUAUAUGUACAUGAAGUUCACUUUACUCUUCAUUCCCAGUGAAAAUGCUUUGGCAAUUUUGAGUACAAUUUAAAUAUUUUCUUCAUUAUUUUGCAUUUCAGUUUUAGACAUGCUUUAUCUUUAUUCUGUUAUAAAACUUUAAUUAAGACUUCCAACUCUUAUAUACUACCUCAGAUAUCUUCUAGCUUUUAUACCAGAGAGAUGAUAAUCUGUAAAUAAAUAUUUAAAUGUACUAGAAAUUCAGCUAUUAAAGGACUAUUAUGAAGACGUAA